rnacentral:rRNA from 1 species
UUUCUGGCGAGUUUGAUCCUGGCUCAGGACGAACGCUGGCGGUGUGCCUUAUGCAUGCAAGUCGCACGGAUCCGAAAGGAUUAGUGGCAAACGGCUGAGUAACACGUAAGCAACCAACCCUACAGUGGGGGAUAAUCCGCCGAAAGGCGGACUAAUACCGCAUUCGAGCCUCCUCUUCAUGAGGAUGCUGAAAGCCGCAAGGCGCUGUUGGACGGGCUUGCGUCCUAUCAGGUAGUUGGCGGGGUAACGGCCCACCAAGCCGAAGACGGGUAACUGGUCUGAGAGGACGGCCAGUCAGACGGGGACUGAGACACGGCCCCGACUCCUACGGGAGGCAGCAGCAGGGGAUUUUGCGCAAUGGGCGAAAGCCUGACGCAGCGACACCGCGUGAGGGAUGAAGGCCUUCGGGUCGUAAACCUCUUUUUUAGGGGACGAGAUAGGACGGUACUCUAAGAAUAAGCCUCGGCUAACUACGUGCCAGCAGCCGCGGUAAUACGUAGGAGGCGAGCGUUGUCCGGAUUUACUGGGCGUAAAGGGCGAGUAGGUGGCUGGAUAACUCCUUGGUGAAAUCUCCCGGCUUAACUGGGAGGGUGCCGAGGAAAGUGUUCAGCUAGAGGGACGCAGAGGAGAACGGAAUUCCCGGUGUAGCGGUGACAUGCGUAGAUAUCGGGAGGAACACCAGUGGCGAAAGCGGUUCUCUAGGCGUUUCCUGACACUGAGGCGCGAAAGCGUGGGUAGCAAACCGAAUCAGAUACUCGGGUAGUCCACGCCCUAAACGAUGGAUACUGGGUAUGGGGGGUAUCGACCCCUCCCGUGCCGAAGCAUACGCGUUAAGUAUCCCGCCUGGGGAGUACGGCCGCAAGGCUAAAACUCAAAGGAAUUGACGGGGGCCCGCACAAGCAGCGGAGCGUGUGGUUUAAUUCGAUGCAAAACGAAGAACCUUACCUGGGCUUGACAUGCUAGAAGUAGGAAUCCGAAAGGUGGACGACCUGUAAAGUCAGGAGCUAGCACAGGUGCUGCAUGGCUGUCGUCAGCUCGUGCCGUGAGGUGUUGGGUUAAGUCCCGCAACGAGCGCAACCCUUGUCUCGUGUUGUUUUCUCACGAGAGACUGCUCUGUAAAAGGAGAGGAAGGUGGGGAUGACGUCAAGUCAGCAUGGCCCUUACGCCCAGGGCUACACACACGCUACAAUGGGAAGGACAGAGGGUUGCCAAACCGCAAGGUGGAGCUAAUCCCAUCAAACCUUCCCCCAGUUGGGAUUGCAGGCUGCAACCUGCCUGCAUGAACGUGGAGUUGCUAGUAACCGCAGGUCAGCUAUACUGCGGUGAAUACGUUCCCGGGCCUUGUACACACCGCCCGUCACGUCAUGGAAGCCGAUAACACCUGAAGUCGCCAGGCUAACCGCAAGGAGGCAGGCGCCGAGAGUGGGAUUGGUGACUGGGACGAAGUCGUAACAAGGUAGCUGUACCGGAAGGUGUGGCUGGAUCACCUCCUUUCU